UUUUUUGCGAUGAAGGAAUCCAGUAGUUUUAUUACCGCUACGUUUAAGAGAGCUGAUGGUUGGUGUAAAUCAGUGUAAGUAAUAAAGCGAAUUACAAUUCUUGAGCUGUUUCUUUUAUACAUGGCAUUUUACGGUAUAAAAGACGGUACGGGGUGUACCGUUAUCAAAUAGAGUGGCAAUUUAUAUUGCAACGAGGGUGGUACCGCGAGUAGAUCUCGUCCCUUUU
rnacentral:ncRNA from 1 species